GGAGUCGGCCAGGCAAUCGCGUCACCGGGCAACCGGUGCCGAGGAAAGUCCGGGCUCCACAGGGUACGGUGCCAGGUAACGCCUGGGCGGCGCGAGCCGACGGAAAGUGCAACAGAAAGAUACCGCCGACGGUCCUUCGGGAUGCGGGCAAGGGUGAAAUGGUGCGGUAAGAGCGCACCGCGAGUCUGGCAACAGACCGGCACGGCAAACCCCACCGGGAGCAAGACCAAAUAGGGAGGCGGUGAUGCGACCCGCAGAGCCUCCGGGUAGGUUGCUUGAGCGUACGGGUGACCGUGCGCCUAGAGGAAUGAUUGCCACGGUGCGCGAGCACCGGACAGAACCCGGCUUACCGGCCGGCUCCGUCG
rnacentral:RNase_P_RNA from 1 species